GGAUUUGGGCCAAUCGGUGUCUGGAACUAGUCACAACGGAGGUUAACUCAGUCUCGAACUCAAACGAUUUGGGACUCUAGGGUUUGCAUAAGAUGAUUUAGAGGUGAAAGGGUUUUGGAGAAGACAUCGAUUUGGAGAAGGAAGGGUUUGAGAGUUGUUUUAGAGAAGGAAGGGUUUUGUGUGUGUUGUGCGUGUUGUAUUCUUUGUGUUUUGUUUGAGUUGUGCGUGUUUGUGUUCUUUAUGUUUUGUAUUUCUC
rnacentral:lncRNA from 1 species